rnacentral:rRNA from 1 species
GAUGAACGCUGGCGGCGUGCUUAACACAUGCAAGUCGAACGGUGAAGCAGAGCUUGCUCUGUGGAUCAGUGGCGAACGGGUGAGUAACACGUGAGCAACCUGCCCCUGACUCUGGGAUAAGCGCUGGAAACGGCGUCUAAUACUGGAUAUGAGCUGCGACCGCAUGGUCAGCAGUUGGAAAGAUUUUUCGGUCUGGGAUGGGCUCACGGCCUAUCAGCUUGUUGGUGAGGUAAUGGCUCACCAAGGCGUCGACGGGUAGCCGGCCAGGGAGGGUGACCGGCCACACUGGGACUGGGACAAGGCCCAGACUCCUACGGGAGGCAACAGUGGGGAAUAUUGCACAAUGGGCGAAAGCCUGAUGCAGCAACGCCGCGUGAGGGAUGACGGCCUUCGGGUUGUAAACCUCUUUUGGCAGGGAAGGAGCGAAAGUGACGGUACCUGCAUAAAAAGCGCCGGGUAACUACGUG